rnacentral:rRNA from 1 species
UACGGGGGGAGCAAGCGUUGUUCGGAUUUACUGGGCGUAAAGGGCGCGUAGGCGGCCUGUGCAAGUCAGUUGUGAAAUCUCCGGGCUUAACUCGGAACGGUCAACUGAUACUGCUCGGCUAGAGUGCGGAAGGGGCAACUGGAAUUCUUGGUGUAGCGGUGAAAUGCGUAGAUAUCAGGAGGAACACCUGUGGUGUAGACAGCUUACUGGACCACUUCUGACGCUGAGACACGAAAGCGUGGGUAGCAAACAGG